rnacentral:rRNA from 1 species
GUCCACGCCGUAAACGAUGGAUACUAGCUGUUCGGAGCAAUCUGAGUGGCUAAGCGAAAGUGAUAAGUAUCCCACCUGGGGAGUACGUUCGCAAGAAUGAAACUCAAAGGAAUUGACGGGGCCCGCACAAGCGGUGGAGCAUGUGGUUUAAUUCGAUGAUACGCGAGGAACCUUACCAGGGCUUAAAUGUAGAUUGACAGGACUGGAAACAGUUUUUUCUUCGGACAAUUUACAAGGUGCUGCAUGGUUGUCGU